GGUGAGUAACACGUGGGCAACCUGCCCUGCAGAUCGGGAUAACUCCGGGAAACCGGUGCUAAUACCGAAUAGUUUGCGGCCUCUCCUGAGGCUGCACGGAAAGACGGUUUCGGCUGUCACUGCAGGAUGGGCCCGCGGCGCAUUAGCUAGUUGGUGGGGUAAUGGCCCACCAAGGCGACGAUGCGUAGCCGACCUGAGAGGGUGAUCGGCCACACUGGGACUGAGACACGGCCCAGACUCCUACGGGAGGCAGCAGUAGGGAAUCUUCCGCAAUGGACGAAAGUCUGACGGAGCAACGCCGCGUGAGUGACGAAGGUUUUCGGAUCGUAAAACUCUGUUGUGAGGGAAGAACAAGUACCANNUAACUACUGGUACCUUGACGGUACCUCACCAGAAAGCCACGGCUAACUACGUGCCAGCAGCCGCGGUAAUACGUAGGUGGCAAGCGUUGUCCGGAAUUAUUGGGCGUAAAGCGCGCGCAGGCGGUCCCUUAAGUCUGAUGUGAAAGCCCACGGCUCAACCGUGGAGGGUCAUUGGAAACUGGGGGACUUGAGUGCAGAAGAGGAAAGUGGAAUUCCAUGUGUAGCGGUGAAAUGCGUAGAGAUGUGGAGGAACACCAGUGGCGAAGGCGACUUUCUGGUCUGUAACUGACGCUGA
rnacentral:rRNA from 1 species